CUUGUUAGAUUCACCCCACAGGGAUAGCGGCAGAGCUGGCAGCUGACGGUUCUGGCUUUGGCCUCCGGCAGGCGCCUCCCUGGGGCGGGAAGCUGGUAAAAGUUUCAUUUGAUCUGAAUACUAUUCAGAUAAAAUACCUGGAUGAGGAAAAUGAAGAGGUAUCCAUCAACAGUCAAGGUGAAUCCCUGAGAGUCUGUUCAGCCUUAUUUAAAAGCUUUAAUCUGCUCAUUGAGGCAUUUCUAUUUGUACUCAAACCUUAUUGCAGUAUUAAUUUUAGAGUUUGCAAUUUGGUAUACUACAAAUUAACACUGCACUGAUGGACAUUAGUUACAUAGGGGAUUUUAUUGUAUAGCAGUUUUUUGUAUAUAGAAUGAUAGCUUUGCAUGGACCCUAAGGACAGCUUUAUUGGGAGGUUUUCAUAUUUAACAUGCCAGUCCUCUGAGAUUAAUAUGCCUCCCAGUUCAAGACAUAAAAGUAUUCCCACGGUGUUGCAUUUGUACAGUAGGUACAGUAAAAAUGUGACAUUAUAAUCUUAUGGGAUCACCAUCAUACACGUGGUUGACCACAAUGUUACGUGGCAGUGGUUACUAUAGUGAAGCAAAUUAACAUAUCCAUCAUCUCAUUAUAGUGGCCCUGUGGUGCCCUGAGCCCUCCCCAGAAACCGGCCAUAAUCUACUCAUUUAGCAAAAAUCAUUAAUAUGAUUAUUUAACUAUAAUACAUUCCUCAUGUUAUACAGUCCAUCUUUAGAAUUGGCUAUACUUAAUCUUAUAGAUUCUUGAAUGAAUGGGUAUGUACAAAAUAAAAAUAAUUGGCUACACUUAAUCUUCUAGAAUCUUUGGUUCUUGAAGGAGUGAAUGGAUGUGUACAAAAUAAAAAUAAUUUUAAUAGAAUCUUUUGGGGUGUGUGAAGAACUACCAUGGUGUAUAUUUUUUAUC